rnacentral:rRNA from 1 species
AUUGAACGCUGGCGGCAGGCCUAACACAUGCAAGUCGAACGGUAACAGGAAGAAGCUUGCUUCUUUGCUGACGAGUGGCGGACGGGUGAGUAAUGUCUGGGAAACUGCCUGAUGUAGGGGGGUAACUACUGGAAACGGUAGCUAAUACCGCAUAACGUCGCAAGACCAAAGAGGGGGACCUUCUGGCCUCUUGCCAUCGGAUGUGCCCAGAUGGGAUUAGCUAGUAGGUGGGGUAACGGCCCACCUAGGCGACGAUCCCUAUCUGGUCUGAGAGGAUGACCAGCCACACUGGAACUGAGACACGGUCCAGACUUCUACGGGAGGCAGCAGUGGGGAAUAUUGCACAAUGGGCGCAAGCCUGAUGCAGCCAUGCCGCGUGUAUGAAGAAGGCCUUCGGGUUGUAAAGUACUUUCAGCGGGGAGGAAGGGAGUAAAGUUAAUACCUUUGCUCAUUGACGUUACCCGAAGAAGAAGCACCGGCUAACUCCGUG